AGCGAACGCUGGCGGCAGGCCUAACACAUGCAAGUCGAACGCCCCUUCGGGGGAGUGGCGGACGGGUGAGUAACGCGUGGGAAUGUGCCCUUUGGUACGGAACAACUGAGGGAAACUUCAGCUAAUACCGUAUGUGCCCUACGGGGGAAAGAUUUAUCGCCAUUGGAGCAGCCCGCGUUGGAUUAGGUAGUUGGUGGGGUAAUGGCCCACCAAGCCGACGAUCCAUAGCUGGUCUGAGAGGAUGAUCAGCCACACUGGGACUGAGACACGGCCCAGACUCCUACGGGAGGCAGCAGUGGGGAAUCUUGCGCAAUGGGCGAAAGCCUGACGCAGCCAUGCCGCGUGAAUGAUGUAGGUCUUAGGAUUGUAAAAUUCUUUCACCGGGGAAGAUAAUGACGGUACCCGGAGAAGAAGCCCCGGCUAACUUCGU
rnacentral:rRNA from 1 species